rnacentral:rRNA from 1 species
UACGUAGGUGGCAAGCGUUGUCCGGAAUUAUUGGGCGUAAAGCGCGCGCAGGCGGUCCUUUAAGUCUGAUGUGAAAUCUUGCGGCUCAACCGCAAGCGGUCAUUGGAAACUGGAGGGCUUGAGUACAGAAGAGGAGAGUGGAAUUCCACGUGUAGCGGUGAAAUGCGUAGAUAUGUGGAGGAACACCAGUGGCGAAGGCGACUCUCUGGUCUGUAACUGACGCUGAGGCGCGAAAGCGUGGGGAGCAAACAGG